CUGCAGGAGGCACACGCGUCGCGGGGUGGAGGAGAAGCCAGCGACGGGGGAAAGGCUGAGCUCCAGGCGGCGCUCCCGUUGCGAUGGGGUAGAUCUGCAGAGGCAGGGGAUGAGGCCCGCGACAGGAGGGAGGAGCUGGCCGGAGCCAGCGAGGAAGACGGCUCGUCCCGGCCGCCGACGCCCCACUCGCCACACCUUCCUUCCUCUGCUUCGGAAUGGAACAGACCAGUCCAGCAUCGCCUCAGCCUCCUCCGCCGGCACGCACGACCUCGCCUCCUACGAAGCAGAGAGGCGUGGUGGCAGCGGGCAACCAACGGCGGUGGACGAGGGGAGCUCGGACGCGUGCCCUGCAUCCGGCUGCCUCCCCUCUUCCUCGUCACCGGCCGCCUCAACAUCUCGCUCUCGCCCUCCUCCGUGGAACCGCGUCCGGGCUGCUGAGGUCGACGACGAGUACCCUGAGAAGUUCCUCAAGGAUGCUGAGAGCUGCAUCAACGCUGUCGAGGAGCACCCUGAGCUGGAGGAAUGGCACAGGAUCCGAUCCUUGGACCUUCAUCCACUUGGUUAUUAUCUGCACCAAAUACCCUCAGACCUCUCUAUCUAUGCGUUGGUUAUUUUUUGUUAGCUACAAGAUGCAAUGAUGGAUUCAUCUAAUUAUUUUGUGAAAAAGUUCGCUCUGUAGAAUUAAGAAGCAGCUGCAGAUAAAAAGUUGGUUCCAGUUUGAGUUUUUCCUUCUUCUAUAUGUGGGCGUACUUAGCUGAGGUGAGGAAAUAAGAAGUUCAGAUUUCACUGAGGCAGACAGCUCUCGGUUAAAUGAUUAAUAUGCGGCUCUGUUAUUAUUUAUAUAAAUGAAAGGUGUACAUCCACAUUAGCCGCUUCGAGAAUUUUAGCCCCUUUUGUUUUGUGACACACACCAUGUCCAUAUGUAUAUGCCUAGUGCUUUGAAUGUCAAAAUGAGGUUGGAGCUGAAUAUGUUUAAGCAGUCUGCUUACUGUGCUGAAAUGCUUUUUUGCAGGUCUGGGCAAUCACUGACAGUCUGCAGUUUGCCAAUUUGCAGUAUAAUAGAAACAAUUCAGUCCUCAUCUAUGCUUGAAGUGCAGCUACAUACUGUUAAUUGACUACAGGUUUAGCUAUUUCAGGGCUACUAGUAAGCGGCGUGCACCAUUGCAUCCAGUAUGAUAUUUGAUAUGGGUCCUUCGAUCUCCACAAACAAGCAUUUAACUUCCAUAAAAAUGGAAUAGAACAGUUUUCCCAUUCAUAAACACUCAAAUAUAAUAGUUUUAUGAUUUAUGAACAUUGGACUGGUAGACACUGGAGACUGGGCUAGAAUAACUCAAAUACAGUCCCUUCUCUGAUGGCUGAGUAGUUUGAACUUUGGAGACUUAAUCUUCUGGACAAGAGUAGUUUUUUCCAGUAACGCAUGGCCUGGGUUUCUCUGUUAAUUGCAGGGUGCCAAAGUUAGGAGGCGAAAUGAUUGGGACGAAUGGUUGAUUCCUCUAGAGAGUAACGUUUGUAUUCCGUCAAGCUCUGCAGCUGUGCCAGGUCCCAUUGUCAAUAAUCUGACAGCACACCUUGGAGGUGUGGUUCUGGUAUUGUUAGUAAGACCGUACAUGAUUUGGUGUACAAUUACUCUUCCAAGGCUAUACUAAUAGAUAAUCCUGGUCAUUCUCUAAUUUUUCCUAUCGUGGAUCACCCAGUACAAAGUGAUGGUAAUGAGGAUAUUUGUCGGAACCGAAAAAAGUUGUAGUGCUUCAUCCUGGCUACCAAGAGAGAAUGGGCUGAAAAGGCAUUGGUUGCAGAUGAAGGAAAAUAAAGAGUCAUUGAUUUAUUCCUAUGGUCGGUAGCGCUAUAUACACCGGAUUGGGCCAAGUGCAGACCUGGAUUGUAGAAUUGCUUGCUUCAGUUGAGGCUUUUGACUGUCCUUUGCGGUUCACAAAUAGAUUGUAGGAUGUUUUGAUUGAUCUGUGAGAUGUGUUACCCAGUGGUGAAGGUUUUUCACAUUUGUUCAGGCUGAGUUCAAUUUGUUUUUGUGCCAGAAACGGAACAGGUAGUGCUCUAACCUCAGCAGCAUAUGGUCUAAAUUUCAUACUUAGGGUCAUUCAAAUAUCUGGAAUAUUAGUCCUGAGUCAAGACCAGCACAAUGGAAUGAACUUUACAACAUUUAGUUAGCAUAUUAUAUAUUUUCCGAGGGAAAAUGGCAGGCGCUCUGCCUUUGUUAUAGAUUAUGAAUGUACAAGAGGAGAACACAAUGGAGAAAGAGAGGGAGGAAGCAAAGGAAAACGAAGAAGCAGUCACCCCAGGCGCUGCCUGUACAUGGAUGUUCAGCUAAGGUUCUACUACAUUCAGCCAGAUGAGCUGCAGAUCAUUGACAACACCACCACCAACAGAGACUGGGCAUGAGGCCGUGUUUGUGAAGAUACCUCUGUUCCUUUCGUUCCAGAUGUGCCAAGCAAAAUAUGCCCCUGUAACAGCCGUGUUCUUUGGCCCUCCAGCAAGGUGCGGCCACCACUUGCCAAUGGAGUUGAAGGAUGUGAUGUUUACUUGUUGGAUAGCUGGAUUUGAAGCGCCAAGUUUGAACCACAUUUCAGCGAUGAAAGGGCAUUGACAAAAGAGGGUGAGCUGCAGAUUCGAUAAUCUGAUCGCAUAGGGCGCAUUUGUCGUCAUGUUGGCUGCCCCGGUCCACGAUUCAAAGAUCCACGAAGGAAUCGAUCUCGUCAGAAGAGUUGAUACGCUGAAGGCCCUUCAUCCAUCUGUCAUCCGAGAGGGCAGCUGCAACCGUCAGGCUCUUCCUUCUUCGUCAGAUUGAAAAGCUUUGGAGCAAGGUCUAUCAGAGCAGAGCCAAAAAGGCGUAAGCUUUCCAUCGCCCAGCGAAACAGUGGUGGAUGCACGAAACAAGCUCAAAUCACCCGCAGAGCAGGCCAGUGGGAAGCAAGUCCAUGGUCGGGAUGGGUUCUUCCAGGCAGUCCAAGGUCAUCAUGGGUUCUCAUCCUGCUCUUUUGGCAUUUAUGACUGGUUGUUGCUCUACCCAAGGUUUCAUCCAAACCAUUGAACUUGACAGUAAAACUCUAUCCAAAAUUCUGAACAAGUAAUUCUCAUGCUCUUCCUUAGGUGUAUAAGAGUGUUGAUGAUGUGGCUUAGAGGAGGCCUCGACUUGCACCAAAUAUAUGCUCAUAUGCAACUACAGCCUAUGCAGGCGAAUCAUGCGCUUGUGCCGAGCUGAUCCAAGCAUGAAAAGCAGGUGAAUGAGAAGCUGCACAACCCGCACACUUAAACGCCUAGGUGAAGCAUCAAAAUUCAAUAUAACUAGUUCUGGACAUGGACAAGGGCUUCAUUUGAUCUUUUGUUGCUCUCAAGCCAUAUUUUCCCUGUGUGUCUCUUUGUGCAGGCUGAGUUCAAUUUGUUUUUGUGCCAGAAACGGAACAGGUAGUGCUCUAACCUCAGCAGCAUAUGGUCUAAAUUUCAUACUUAGGGUCAUUCAAAUAUCUGGAAUAUUAGUCCUGAGUCAAGACCAGCACAAUGGAAUGAACUUUACAACAUUUAGUUAGCAUAUUAUAUAUUUUCCGAGGGAAAAUGGCAGGCGCUCUGCCUUUGUUAUAGAUUAUGAAUGUACAAGAGGAGAACACAAUGGAGAAAGAGAGGGAGGAAGCAAAGGAAAACGAAGAAGCAGUCACCCCAGGCGCUGCCUGUACAUGGAUGUUCAGCUAAGGUUCUACUACAUUCAGCCAGAUGAGCUGCAGAUCAUUGACAACACCACCACCAACAGAGACUGGGCAUGAGGCCGUGUUUGUGAAGAUACCUCUGUUCCUUUCGUUCCAGAUGUGCCAAGCAAAAUAUGCCCCUGUAACAGCCGUGUUCUUUGGCCCUCCAGCAAGGUGCGGCCACCACUUGCCAAUGGAGUUGAAGGAUGUGAUGUUUACUUGUUGGAUAGCUGGAUUUGAAGCGCCAAGUUUGAACCACAUUUCAGCGAUGAAAGGGCAUUGACAAAAGAGGGUGAGCUGCAGAUUCGAUAAUCUGAUCGCAUAGGGCGCAUUUGUCGUCAUGUUGGCUGCCCCGGUCCACGAUUCAAAGAUCCACGAAGGAAUCGAUCUCGUCAGAAGAGUUGAUACGCUGAAGGCCCUUCAUCCAUCUGUCAUCCGAGAGGGCAGCUGCAACCGUCAGGCUCUUCCUUCUUCGUCAGAUUGAAAAGCUUUGGAGCAAGGUCUAUCAGAGCAGAGCCAAAAAGGCGUAAGCUUUCCAUCGCCCAGCGAAACAGUGGUGGAUGCACGAAACAAGCUCAAAUCACCCGCAGAGCAGGCCAGUGGGAAGCAAGUCCAUGGUCGGGAUGGGUUCUUCCAGGCAGUCCAAGGUCAUCAUGGGUUCUCAUCCUGCUCUUUUGGCAUUUAUGACUGGUUGUUGCUCUACCCAAGGUUUCAUCCAAACCAUUGAACUUGACAGUAAAACUCUAUCCAAAAUUCUGAACAAGUGUAUAAGAGUGUUGAUGAUGUGGCUUAGAGGAGGCCUCGACUUGCACCAAAUAUAUGCUCAUAUGCAACUACAGCCUAUGCAGGCGAAUCAUGCGCUUGUGCCGAGCUGAUCCAAGCAUGAAAAGCAGGUGAAUGAGAAGCUGCACAACCCGCACACUUAAACGCCUAGGUGAAGCAUCAAAAUUCAAUAUAACUAGUUCUGGACAUGGACAAGGGCUUCAUUUGAUCUUUUGUUGCUCUCAAGCCAUAUUUUCCCUGUGUGUCUCUUUGUGCAGUGGUUUUUACAGAGGAAUUAGUCCAGGUGCUACUGGUUCAUUUGCUACAGGUGCAACAUAUCUUGAAUCAACUAAGACAUGGAUGGAGCACGCUAAUCCUAAUCUAAGAGGUCAUUGGUCUCACUUUAUUGCUGCAGGAAUUGGCAUUGCAAUCAUUUUCCUCUGAUCUUCCUAUUUGCUUGCUCCGCGGGGCAAAACUCGGGACCAAUGGGUUGUCAAGUGAGACAAAUCCAAGAGAGCGAGGAAAAACUGAAAGGAGAAGAAGUGCAUGGGUCUGCUUUUAGUUGAGACAGGCGAAAUCAAAGUGCAUUGGAAAGCAAGUUUAAGGCGAUGCUGGGCAUUAAACUAGCUUGACCAAUAUGAUGGUUACUUUCAAAUAUCCUAGCUCCAUGAAAAUCAGAAUAUAACUGGUGAUGAGACUCGGCAGAUGUUCAAUGCCUGAAACACCAAAUGUUCCGAGCAGAGUCACGACAGUAGAGCUACAUUGGUCUGGAUGAACAUCCAUGAAAGAACAGGCCUGCUAGACACCAAAUGUUCCGAGCAGAGUCACGACAGUAGAGCUACAUUGGUCUGGAUGAACAUCCAUGAAAGAACAGGCCUGCUAGACACCAAAUGUUCCGAGCAGAGUCACGACAGUAGAGCUACAUUGGUCUGGAUGAACAUCCAUGAAAGAACAGGCGUGCUAGACAAGGAAGACGGCGAACGAUGCAAGUAGAGCUACCAUAGUAGAGACGAAGACGCCGGAGAUGCUCGGCGUGGAGACGGAGCUGCCGGAGAGCUUCAGCUCGGGGUUGCCUUCAGCCCACAUGGCAACACUGCUGCUCAACGUUGGCACCGUGCCUUCGAGCUCGUUGUCGGCAACAUCGAGAACGCGCAGAGACGGCAGCCGCGCCACCGACUCCGGGAUCUCUCCUCGGAGGUUAUUGCCUGACAUGCUGAUCACUUGAAGCCAAAGCAGUGAGCCGAACGCCGAGCUCAAGCUGCCGUUGAGCCCGAGCCGGGACAGGUUGAUACCGGUGACUCUGCGUUGGCUGUCGCAGUGCACUCCAAUCCAGCCGGCGCACGCGUCGUUCCUCAGCCAGCUCCGGGCGAUGAUCAGCGGGAAGCCCAGCGCGCCAGCGAUGGAUAGAAGAGCCGUCACCUCCGGAUCGCACGGUCCCCGGUCGAGGCGGCAGAAACUUCCUCCGGCCGCCGCUUCCGCAAGGUCGGUGACCACAUACUUGCCGAACUCCGGCAGCGGCCCCUGCAGCAGGUUUCCAGCCAGGUUGAUGGCGGUGAUCCUCGAGAGCUGGGGAAGCGAUGCAGGAACCACGCCGGUGAUUUUGUUGUGGUCCAAGGAGAGGAGGCCCAGCCACGCGAAGUCGGUGAAGUCGGGCAGCUCGCCGGAGAACUCAUUGUGGCUGAGCUUGAGGUGUUGAAUUGAUGACGCAACGCCGGAGAUGAAGCUUAUCGGCCCGCUGAAUAGUUUUUUGCUGAGGUCAAGCUUUGUGAUCACGCCGCCUCUCAUGUCCGGCGGUGUUCUGACCAUUCAAUUGCCGGCGAAGCAAACGGCGUCCAGUGAUGGGAAGGGGAAGCCGGCGGUGGUGUUGGUGAAAAUGACAUCCAAUGAGCCGACGAUGCCCGCGUUGCUAGCUUCGAGGACGUGGAGCGACCUCAGCGAACGGAGAUCAGCGAUGGGGUUGUCGGUCAGGUUGAACACCUGAAGAAGCGGCAUGCCGCUGAAGAAUGUCUCCGGCAUGCUCGUGAAGAGGUUGCCGUCAAGCCAAAGGUAUGUCAGCUGAGGCAGCAGCAAGAUUGGAAGGCGGCCGGAGACCUUGUUGUUGCCGAGGUCGAGAUCUUCGAGGGCCGAGAGGGAGCCAUUGGCCGCGUCGGGCACCGAGCCGGCGAGCCCUUUGGCUCUCACGGAAAUGCCGGUCACCCUGCCGAGCUCGCACCGGACCCCCGCCCAUCCGCCGUCGCAAGGGUCGGUCCCGGCCUUCCAGCCGAGCGUGCCGUCAGCCCCCGUCGCCGCCGCCAGAAGAUGCAUGUAUGCCGCAUCCUCUGAACUGGCCACGGCCGCACAUCGGUGUCCAGCCGCGAGGAGGAGCAGAAAGAAGAAGAGGACCUUCAUCCUGAGGAUUUGCAUGAGAAGAUCGAGCCUUGGUCGCGGCAGAGAAGGAGGAGCGAGGGCCGAGCAAUGGCGGUGAAGGAGAAGCAGAGCAUCGGCACUCAAGGAGAAGCAGAGCAUGGGCAGUGGAGGAAGGAGAAGCAGAGCAUCGGCAGUGGAGGAGGGCGAGUUUUUCUGUCUAGAUUUGGGCUGGUGGGGAUGGGUUUGACGGGAAUAACUAUACUUUUUAAAGGAUUGGUAUCCGGAUGGCCUAGCCAGGGUUAAUUCAACCCUAAACGAUUUUUUUGGCAUUAAAAGAUUACACAGAAAGGGCUAUAAAAUCAUUUAUAAGA